rnacentral:rRNA from 1 species
AUAUAAUUAAGCGGAGGAAAAGAAACUAACCAGGAUUCCCUUAGUAACGGCGAGUGAAGCGGGAAGAGCUCAGACUUGGAAUCUUCGGAAUUGUAGUCUGUAUAAGCUAGGUCAGCUAUCGCAAUCAGUAAAGUGUCCUGGAACGGACCACCAAGGAGGGUGACAGUCCCGUCUACACUGAUUGUUAAGGCGUACGACCGGUUUUCAAAGAGUCGAGUUGCUUGGGACUGCAGCUCUAAGUGGGUGGUAAAUUCCAUCUAAAGCUAAAUAUUGGUGGGAGACCGAUAGCGCACAAGUA